AUUGAACGCUGGCGGCAGGCUUAACACAUGCAAGUCGAGCGAGCGGCGGACGGGUGAGUAAUAUCUGGGAAAGUGCCUGAUGGAGGGGGAUAACUACUGGAAACGGUAGCUAAUACCGCAUACCAUCAGAUGUGCCCAGAUGGGAUUAGCUAGUAGGUGGGGUAAUGGCUCACCUAGGCGACGAACCCGAGCUGGUCUGAGAGGAUGACCAGCCACCCUGGAACUGAGACACGUUCCAGACUCCUACGGGAGGCAGCAGUGGGGAAUAUUGGACAAUGGGCGAAAGCCUGAUGCAGCCAUGCCGCGUGUGUGAAGAAGGCCUUCGGGUUGUAAAGCACUUUCGGCAGGGAAGCGUUACUCGCAGAAGAAGCACCGGCUAACUCCGUGCCAGCCGCCGCGGUAAUUC
rnacentral:rRNA from 1 species